GGAGUGCUGUGGUUCACGUCAGAGGCGAUCAUCCUCGCGACCUUAUCUCUCUCGAAGGGAGCUGUCCCUGACCGGGCUCGAGGGCCUGGGCACACGGCGCCCACCUGGUCUGCCAGGUCGAGAGGAAAACAGUCCUCAACGGUCCUCGCGGCGCCCGC
rnacentral:other from 1 species